rnacentral:rRNA from 1 species
AUACGGAGGGUGCAAGCGUUAUCCGGAAUCAUUGGGUUUAAAGGGUCCGCAGGCGGAUUAAUAAGUCAGUGGUGAAAUCCUCUCGCUCAACGAGAGAACUGCCUUUGAAACUGUUAGUCUUGAAUUCGGUCGAAGUAGGCGGAAUGUGUCAUGUAGCGGUGAAAUGCAUAGAUAUGACACAGAACACCGAUAGCGAAGGCAGCUUACUAGACCUGGAUUGACGCUCAUGGACGAAAGCGUGGGGAGCGAACAGGAUUAGAAACCCCAGUAGUCC